UACGUAGGGGGCAAGCGUUGUCCGGAAUCAUUGGGCGUAAAGAGCGUGUAGGCGGCCCGGUAAGUCCGCUGUGAAAGUCCAGGGCUCAACCCUGGGAUGCCGGUGGAUACUGUCGGGCUCGAGUCCGGAAGAGGAGUGUGGAAUUCCCGGUGUAGCGGUGAAAUGCGCAGAUAUCGGGAGGAACACCAAUUGCGAAGGCAGCUUGCUGGGACGAUACUGACGCUGAGGCGCGAAAGCGUGGGGAGCAAACAGG
rnacentral:rRNA from 1 species